ACGAACGCUGGCGGCGUGCUUAACACAUGCAAGUCGCGCGGAAAGGCCCUUCGGGGUACUCGAGCGGCGAACGGGUGAGUAACACGUGGGUAACCUGCCCCAGACUUUGGGAUAACCCUCGGAAACGGGGGCUAAUACCGGAUACGACACAGCUUCGCAUGGGGUCUGUGUGGAAAGUUUUUCGGUUUGGGAUGGGCUCGCGGCCUAUCAGCUUGUUGGUGGGGUGAUGGCCUACCAAGGCGACGACGGGUAGCCGGCCUGAGAGGGCGACCGGCCACACUGGGACUGAGACACGGCCCAGACUCCUACGGGAGGCAGCAGUGGGGAAUAUUGCACAAUGGGCGGAAGCCUGAUGCAGCGACGCCGCGUGAGGGAUGACGGCCUUCGGGUUGUAAACCUCUUUCAGCAGGGACGAAGCGUAAGUGACGGUACCUGCAGAAGAAGCGCCGGCCAACUACGUG
rnacentral:rRNA from 1 species